CACAGGUUUGGUCCUGCUGGAGUUCUUCCAAAGUGUGCAAACUGUACUUCAGCUAAAGAAGUCUGUAGGGAGCACAUAGAGCAGAUGAACAGCAAGUGCUUCGGGACUGCGCUUGACAAGACUCUGGCAGGUGGGAAGCCCAAAAGCAAAGCAGGCAUUUGAAGGCGCUAUUUGGGAGCAAAUAUUUAACAUACCAGGGGAUUGGGAAGUAAUGUUGAUUUCUCAUUAUGAUUCCCAUUUUCUUGUCAUCUCUAGAAGGGGGCGCUUAUGACUCCAAAUAAUACAAAGAAUCCACCACUAUCAAAUCUUAACGGUUGCAAGAUCCGAACUUGGUGCUUUUAAACAGCUGUCAGGAGGAAAGGCAAAAACGGUUAUUAACAAACCAGUACCAUCUUUACUAAACUGAAAUACUGACUGCGUUCGUUUUGGCUCAGGUUGUUCUUGGAAGCUUUAAAAACAUCCCAGUGAGAGUCUUUCAUUUUUGUUAGUGCAGAUGAUUUUCUGUUGGCUUUUGCUUAACUUCAGCUGAGUUUUAUGCAAAUGCAUCACAGACAGGGGCUUAAAAUAGCCAGAUGGUCAUUGCAAAGUGUUCAGACUUGUACUUCCCCUUUCCCUCACCCUUCUCACAUGCUGCGAUCCCCGGUACUAUGGAAUUGGGACUGACAGGAUUCAAACAUGGAACUAUCCAAGUCUGAUUGUUCACAUUGAGAAUGGAGGUUAAUGCAGACCAUGAAUUCGAAACUAUGAAGAAGUCUUGGUCACAAAAUCUCCAUGGUAGAAGAGUAUAUCCAUUGAAAGAGGCCUUAAUUCUCAUGUAUCGUAAGGUUGACUCAAUGAUUCAUGAGCUACUCUUAUCCAGAGGAAAAAAAAUACAACGUGGAUACCUUUAAAUGUAAGCCAUUCUUUUUUGCCUAUCCAUUUGUUCCUAUUCUAAAAUAAUCACUUUUGAGUUUUAGGUUUAUGUGAUAUGAUAUCUUCAGAAGACAAACUUGAAAUAACCUAUUCUAAGUAUAUCCUAAGCAUCCAGUGGGGAAGGUAUUGUAGCAUUAGAAAUUGGGCAGUCUAUAGAAGUAUUUGUCCCAUUCCUGAAAAUAACUCUGUGAGAUAGUAACUGUACCAAACCUCUCCCCAGCAAAUUAUAAUAACCCCAAUUUCAAAUUUCUGGAAUAUACUAUCUCUAAUGACAAACUCUUUCCUUAAUACAAGUUCAAUAAAGGCUUUGUACCAAAUUUCAAUGUCUAGGUAGAAAGCUACUCAUUUCGACUUUUAGGUAAUACUUUAAAAAAUAUGUGCGUCAACCAUCAUAAGUAAUUUUUUUUUUUUUACUAUUUCCAUGUCUUCCAUAAUUUACCUAUGAGAAUUUUGCAGGCUAGAAUAAGACUGUGCCCAAUUUGA
rnacentral:lncRNA from 1 species